rnacentral:lncRNA from 1 species
GUUCAGGACAUUCCCAUGUCCCAGACACAAAUGAAAUGUCUCCUGAGAACCAUUGCAACAGACCAAGAACAAAACCACCUGAGUAUGUAGGCGUGUUAUUAGCAGCUUAAUACCCCAGGCUGAGAACCUGGGGAAAAGUCUUUAGAAUUUGGGGGAGGGUGGGGGGAGGGAGGGCAUUUUAUUGGAACUCACAUUUUAAAAAGAAAUAAAAUUUAAAAUAAUAAUAAUAAUAAUAAUAAUAAUAAACCUUUGACCAGUGUCUUCCAACUAGUUUGAUCUUGAGCCAUCCGCGCAAUAAAGCUGACAUCUAUUGUGUGGCUGGUGCCUGCUGCUCAUGUUUGUUAAGGCAUUCGGUCCUCACAGCACACGUGAGGUGAGCCCUGUUGUUAGCACCAUCUUAGAUGGGGAAG